GGCUCGGUAGCGGAGGGUCCGCAUCUGUGCUUCAUGCGCGUCUUGAAUUCUAUGGCUAUUAUGCAGACCUUGCCUGUUCGACUCAGGCCCGAGCCA